CAGGCACAUUACUUGAACUCUGGAAAAACAAGAAAGGCAAAUGUUAGUACUGGCAGCAGAAAGUUGCAUUUUUCAAGACCGAGUAUUCCUGAUGAGAAUGUGUGUGGGCUCUCAGCGUGCUGGUGCUGUUUCAGAAGUGCGUAGAAAAGCCAGAAGGAGCUUACAGCGUUCGAACAGGAAUGAGAAAGGGACAAGAUGGGCUGUCGCUGUUUGUAGGCAUAGACAGAAACAGAUUUCAUGGGAAAACCUCCAGAAACAGAAGAAAAGAAAGGCUGUAUCUUGGUGAUGACCACUGUGGUCAGGGCCAUUGGAGGCAGGCCUGCACCACACUGUGGUGGUUCCAGAUAGCUCUGCUCUAGACACCAUCUACAACAGAAGUGGGCUCCCAGGACAGACGAUCUCCAUCUCUAGCUGUUUGGCUGAUGUGAACUCACAGGA